rnacentral:lncRNA from 1 species
GGGCUAUUUUCUGUUUUGUCAGUCCGUAUUUUUCGUUUGUCCAAAAAUGUGUGUACUAGUAUAAAAAAGAAGAUGUAUAAUAGUGCAAUUGCCAACGAGACAGCUCUUCACAGAACACCAAAUGACAUAGAAAUGAUUAAUAACGACUAUAGGUCACAUUACUGUAUUGUUUUGUUUUUCAUUCGAACUUUUGUACGUAAUUU